rnacentral:rRNA from 1 species
GAUGAACGCCGACAGAAUGCUUAACACAUGCAAGUCAACUUGAACUUCGGUUUGGGUGGCGGACGGGUGAGUAACGCGUAAAGAACUUGCCUCACAGCUAGGGACAACAUUUGGAAACGAAUGCUAAUACCUGAUAUUAUGAUUAUAUGGCAUCGUAUAAUUAUGAAAGCUAUAUGCGCUGUGAGAGAGCUUUGCGUCCCAUUAGCUAGUUGGAGAGGUAACAGCUCACCAAGGCGAUGAUGGGUAGCCGGCCUGAGAGGGUGAUCGGCCACAAGGGGACUGAGACACGGCCCUUACUCCUACGGGAGGCAGCAGUGGGGAAUAUUGGACAAUGGACCGAGAGUCUGAUCCAGCAAUUCUGUGUGCACGAUGAAGUUUUUCGGAAUGUAAAGUGCCUUCAGUUGGGAAGAAAAAAAUGACGGUACCAACAGAAGAAGUGACGGCUAAAUACGUG